rnacentral:rRNA from 1 species
CAGCCGCCGCGGUAAUACAGAGGUCUCAAGCGUUGUUCGGAUUCAUUGGGCGUAAAGGGAGCGUAGGCGGUCGGGUAAGUUGGAUGUGAAAUCCUGGGGCUCAACCUCAGAACUGCAUUCAAUACUGCUUGGCUAGAGUAUUGGAGAGGUGAGUGGAAUUUACGGUGUAGCAGUGAAAUGCGUAGAUAUCGUGAGGAAGACCAGCGGCGAAGGCGGCUCACUGGACAAUUACUGACGCUGAUGCUCGAAGGCUAGGGGAGCAAACGGGAUUAGAUACCCCGGUAGUCCCUGUCUCUUAUAC